rnacentral:rRNA from 1 species
AGUGAACGCUGGCGGUAGGCCUAACACAUGCAAGUCGAACGGCAGCACAGGAGAGCUUGCUCUCUGGGUGGCGAGUGGCGGACGGGUGAGGAAUACAUCGGAAUCUGCCCAGUCGUGGGGGAUAACGUAGGGAAACUUACGCUAAUACCGCAUACGACCUUCGGGUGAAAGAGGGGGAUCGCAAGACCUCUCGCGAUUGGAUGAGCCGAUGUCGGAUUAGCUAGUUGGCGGGGUAAUGGCCCACCAAGGCGACGAUCCGUAGCUGGUCUGAGAGGAUGAUCAGCCACACUGGAACUGAGACACGGUCCAGACUCCUACGGGAGGCAGCAGUGGGGAAUAUUGGACAAUGGGCGCAAGCCUGAUCCAGCCAUACCGCGUGGGUGAAGAAGGCCUUCGGGUUGUAAAGCCCUUUUGUUAGGAAAGAAAUCUUUCAGGCUAAUACCCUGGGAGGAUGACGGUACCCAAAGAAUAAGCACCGGCUAACUUCGUG